UGCAAGUCGAACGAUGAAGCCUUUCGGGGUGGAUUAGUGGCGAACGGGUGAGUAACACGUGGGCAAUCUGCCCUUCACUCUGGGACAAGCCCUGGAAACGGGGUCUAAUACCGGAUAACACUCUGUCCUGCAUGGGACGGGGUUAAAAGCUCCGGCGGUGAAGGAUGAGCCCGCGGCCUAUCAGCUUGUUGGUGGGGUAAUGGCCUACCAAGGCGACGACGGGUAGCCGGCCUGAGAGGGCGACCGGCCACACUGGGACUGAGACACGGCCCAGACUCCUACGGGAGGCAGCAGUGGGGAAUAUUGCACAAUGGGCGAAAGCCUGAUGCAGCGACGCCGCGUGAGGGAUGACGGCCUUCGGGUUGUAAACCUCUUUCAGCAGGGAAGAAGCGAAAGUGACGGUACCUGCAGAAGAAGCGCCGGCUAACUACGUGCCAGCAGCCGCGGUAAUACGUAGGGCGCAAGCGUUGUCCGGAAUUAUUGGGCGUAAAGAGCUCGUAGGCGGCUUGUCACGUCGGAUGUGAAAGCCCGGGGCUUAACCCCGGGUCUGCAUUCGAUACGGGCUAGCUAGAGUGUGGUAGGGGAGAUCGGAAUUCCUGGUGUAGCGGUGAAAUGCGCAGAUAUCAGGAGGAACACCGGUGGCGAAGGCGGAUCUCUGGGCCAUUACUGACGCUGAGGAGCGAAAGCGUGGGGAGCGAACAGGAUUAGAUACCCUGGUAGUCCACGCCGUAAACGUUGGGAACUAGGUGUUGGCGACAUUCCACGUCGUCGGUGCCGCAGCUAACGCAUUAAGUUCCCCGCCUGGGGAGUACGGCCGCAAGGCUAAAACUCAAAKGAAUUGACGG
rnacentral:rRNA from 1 species